rnacentral:rRNA from 1 species
AUUGAACGCUGGCGGCAGGCCUAACACAUGCAAGUCGAGCGGCAGCGGGAAAGUAGCUUGCUACUUUUGCCGGCGAGCGGCGGACGGGUGAGUAAUGCCUGGGAAAUUGCCCAGUCGAGGGGGAUAACAGUUGGAAACGACUGCUAAUACCGCAUACGCCCUACGGGGGAAAGCAGGGGACCUUCGGGCCUUGCGCGAUUGGAUAUGCCCAGGUGGGAUUCGCUAGUUGGUGAGGGAAUGGCUCACCAAGGCGACGAUCCCUAGCUGGUCUGAGAGGAUGAUCAGCCCAACUGGAACUGAGACACGGUCCAGACUCCCACGGGAGGCAGCAGUGGGGAAUAUUGCACAAUGGGGGAAACCCUGAUGCAGCCAUGCCGCGUGUGUGAAGAAGGCCUUCGGGUUGUAAAGCACUUUCAGCGAGGAGGAAAGGUUGAUGCCUAAUACGUAUCAACUGUGACGUUACUCGCAGAAGAAGCACCGGCUAACUCCGUGCCAGCCGCCGCGGUAAAAC